GCGUCUCUUUCUGGGCCGUGGAGCUGUCCGCUCUGAAACCUGAGGAAGUCGUAGUUCAGGGAGGGGUAGCUCUUGCACCUAGGCCGUUAGGAACGAGUUUUAGGUUCGAAUCCCAUCUUAUGGAAGGUGGUAUUGGUCCCUUGGGUGUCCCACCCGUCUCAGCCAAACUGCGGGCCAUUUCCCGGGGCGAGCAAGGGGAGUUACCGCGCCAGUGGGUGGACUCGCCGCCUCUCGGAGUCGGGAGGAAGUCGAGCUGGGGUGCAGUUACGAGUCUCAGUUAAUAAUGAAUAGGGUGGCCAAUGGUGGGCCAGGCACAGUGGCUCACGCCUGUAAUCCCAGCACUUUGGGAGGCCGAGGCGGGCGGAUCACGAGGUUAGGAGAUAAGAGACCAGCCUGGCUAAUAUGGUGAAACCUCGUCUUUACUAAAAAUAAAAAAAUUAGCUGGGCAUGGUGGCGGGCGCCUGUAGUCCCGGCUACUCGGGAGGCUGUGGCAGGAGAAUCGCUUGAACCGAGGAGGCAGAGGUUGCAGUGAGCCGACAUCGCGCCACUGCACUCCAGCAUGGCGACAAAGCGAGACUACGUCUCAAACAAACAAACAAACAAACAAACAAAAAAAACAAAAAGAAAAGGAAAAAAAAGGGUGGCCAAUAUAGUGAAACCCCCUCUCUACUAAAAAUACAAAAAUUAGCUGGGCGUGGUGGCGCGCGCCUGUAGUCCCAGCUACUCGGGAGGCUGAGGCAGAAGAAUCGCUUGAAGCCGGGAGGCAAAGGUUGCAGUGACCCGAGAUUGCGCUACUGCACUCCAGCCUGGGCGACAGAGCGAGGUUCCGUCUCGAAAAAAAAAACAACGAAAAGGGGACUCACUUCGGAGAAGCUGCCCUCUCUGCAAACUUAUUUGAGUAAGGGACUGAAGACUGAAGUUAGGGAGAGGAAAGGGAUACACGUCUGUUAGUGCGAGUUGCGUGUCUUGUUAGUGCGAACUGGAACCCAAGUUUCCUUUGGGAAGACUUUGGCGAAAGAGUACAGGAACACCAGCCACUCCAGAAAGAGACCGCUCCUCUUGAACCCGCCCACUUAACUCCUCCCGCAGGCUCUACGUUCGAAUGCCUCCACCCUGAUUUUAGAAGGUUAUAGGCGCACAAUCAAGGAAAUGUCGACAGAGGGCGUCCUUGCUCUAAGCAGCAUUGUCCACCUGCUUCCUGAGCGGGGUUCAGUGAUUAUUCUCUGAACCUGGACUUCUGGCGUUGUGCCUCUAUACUCCAUUUCCCUGCUUCAAAGCUCUCCUAAUUGACUUUAUUUUCUGACACUCCCCCACUUUACCCCCCAGGAGUGUUGCUUCUUUUAUUUCUUUGCCUGGAUGGUCGUUUGGCUUAGUAAAUAGACCUAGACCCCACCCCAUGGUGUAGAAGCAGUUGGUGAACUUCUAUAAAGGGCCAGACAGUACACAUUUUAGGCUCUGCGAUCUCCUUAUGGUUGAAAGUUCUACUGUUGUAGCACAAAAUCAGCCUUGGACAGUAAGCAAAUAGAGAUGUGGUCUUGCUAUGUUGCCCGGGCUGAGUGCAGUGACUAUUCACAGGCCGGAUCUAGUGCACUGCAGUCUUGAACUCCUGGCUUACAGUCCUGCUGGUUCUGAGAGGCAGGGGAAGAAACGGCCACCAUGCUCUGCAGCUAGGUCUCAGCAUGAGGACCAAGAACCCUGGUGUUCCUCCACUCAUCGGAGCCGUAUCAUUUUGGUGCAUUGGCCAGGAAAGGAAAUUCAAUCAUGAGACUGAUGGGUAACAGACCAUCUUCAACAUGCACUUCUCUUGAGUGUAUUUUGAAGCACUAGGACUCUUUCGACCUUGAAACUUUGAAGAAAAAGUGGCUUAUUUUCUUUUGCAGUCAUAUCAGGCAGGCCCAGGGAAAACAGUACCCCAAAAUUUAAAAAGUAACUUUCAGGGAAGUCAUCUGAGGGUCCCCCUUAUUUGGGGCCCCUUCAAGUUCCCUUCUCAUUGCAGGACCUUUGGCAAGUAAAGGGAGACUUAGGCUGGUUUUCUGAUGACCUUAAUAAGUAUAUGGAAGCUUUCCAAUAUUUAACUCAGGUAUGUAACCUCUCAUGAAGGGAUGUUAUGUUGCUGCUAAGGCAAACCCUUACUGUAGGUAAAAUAAGCAGCUCUGCAAGCAGAAGAAAAUUUUGGAGAUAAGUAAUGUCUCCUAUAGAAGGCCAAAAGGGAAAAGAAAAAAAUAGGGAAGGCAAAGGGGAAACACCAUUCCCAAUAGGAAAAGAGGCAAUACCUCCUGACAACCCUAAUUGGAACUCCUUUCUGUGGUGUUUUUCCUUGUUUUGCAGUUUAAAAUGGCUUCUCUUUUAUAAUGUUCUUCCAACAUGGAAAAGGUUAAUUUUCCAAACCUUAAAAUGUUUGGCAUAGAGUUGAGCUAGGGGGAAGGAAACCCAGCCCAGAAGCCUGAUAUGCUGGCAAAAGGGUAAAAAUUUCUUACCAGUCAGGCUUUUGGCUUCUCUCUUCCUGUGGAAACCGGCAAAAGGGAUAAUAAAGAUCAUUGUUUAUGUUUUCUUUAAAUUUAUAGUUAAUGAAAAAGGAUUUGUGAGGUUGGUCUUAAGCUGUAAACAAUCUGCUCUUCUUUGUAUGUCUUUCUGUGUGGUUCUGUUAAAGAAAAGGUAUCUUAGGUCAGGAUGCAGGCCCAGAAACCCAUAAGCCUGCUGUUCAAACCAGCCCAGCAAAGUAUCCAGUGGCAAACUUGGCUACAGGCCUCCAUCUUGUUUCAUGUCAUGGGAACAUAAUCUGUAACCAUGUGGCAAUACUUUGUUUUUGUCUCCGCCAUUUUACAAUGGUGGCUGUCUUCUUGUGCUAAAUCAGAUAAGCCAGUUUGUCAGUCUGGGCUGUGUCAGCUGAUCCAUCAAGGGCAGGGUUUACAAAACAUCUUAAGCACUGAUCAUAACAGCCGUUUAGGGAGGGUCAAAAUCUUGUAGCCUCCAAUUGCAUGGCUCUUGGGCCAUGGUUUCUAAUCCUGUAGCUAGUUUCUUGGUCUGGUCCCCAGGCAAAAGGGAAGUAUAUCUUGAGAAGCAGCUGCUAUCUUCUUUGUUUUAGACUAUAAACUGUAAACCAAGCUCCUCCCCAACUUGAUUCAGCCUAUGCCCGGGGAUGGGCAAGGACAGUUUGGGGACUGGAAACAAAAUGGAGUUGUUUGGGUGAGAUCUCUUCCACUGUCUCAGUCACAAUUUUGCAGUGACAGUUUCAAAAGCUGCCUGUCCGGGUGGAUCACGAGGUCAGGAGUUCAAGACCAGCCUAGUCAACAUGACGAAACCCUGUCUCUACUAAAAAAACAAAAAUUAGCCAGGCGUGGUGGCAUGCACCUGUAGUCCUGGCUACUCAGGAAGCUGAGGCAGAGGAAUUGCUUGAACCCAGGAGGCAGAGGUUGCAGUGAGCCAAGAUCAUGCUACUGCACUCCAGCCUGGGUGACAGAGCAAGACUCUGUCUCAGCAAAAAAAAAAAAAAAAAAAAAAAGCUGCCUGUCACUCCUUUAAAAAUACCUUUUACACUCCUGGUUAAGUCAUAACCUAAUUAAAGCUCUUUAGUUUUACCUGUGAGGUUACUUAUUGUAAAGUUCAAAAGCCAAAAAUCUUAACUGCUUGGCAUGGCUAAGGUCAAGUAACAAAGGAUUUAGAAGAAUUUUCUUAAAGAGUGCUCAGCUUAAUUAAAAGUGGAAAAUCAAGUUAUAGGUAUAUUAAAAGGCCUUUAUGUUUUUUCUUUUCUUGAAUCUUGUUUUUCUGGAAAAAGGCUCAUCUCAGCCGACUGAAUUAUUUUUCUCCAUUUUUUGUCUUACUACUCUUAAUGCAUGUAUAAAAGGCCCUAAGAUAACUUCUGGUAGCAUGGGACUCCUCAGGAAACACAGAGGAGGCGCCACAGACCCCGUUUUGGGAAAAAACCCUCUGUUUUCCUCAUGAAACCCCAGGAAUUAAAAGCAAAUAAUUCCCUCUCAAAAUCAAAGGCUCUGUUCUGUUUUGCAUUGUGUUAUCUGAUGGUUUUGAGUUUUGGGGGUAUCAGAAAUUACUUCGCAUUUUUACAAGAAAGCUUUGGUGUGUAAUAAUCAAGUAGAAAAUACACUGUAAGGGAUGGCUAAUAGUAGUUAUAAAUCAGGGAUGCUCUUGGCCACCUGGAAGAUAAGGAAACAUCCUCACCCUGCACUGGGAGAUGAGACUCCCAUCAGGGAUGGGCUAAUUACAAAAUAAGCCAAUUGGCUUUGGGCUGCCUUGCAAUGCAAUGCAUGGUAGAAGCACUACACCGUCCUCUCCCAUAGUAUCUAUAUGGUCUUUUCAUAAAUUAAGCAUUAAAAUAAAAGCAUAGCAAGGAGGUCUUAAGACACUAAUCUGCCCCUUAGUAAAAGGGUUAUAAAAGGUUUGUAAAGAUUUCACCUUGGCCGGGUGCGGUGGCUCACACCUGUAACCCCAGCACUUUGGGAGGCCGAGGCGGGCAGAUCACCUGAGGUCGGGAGUUCGAGACCAGGCUGACAAACAUGGAGAAGCCCCGUUUCUACUAAAAAUACAAAAUUAGCCAGGGGUGGUGGCACAUGCCUGUAAUCCCAGCUACUUGGGAGGCUGAGGCAGGAGAAUCGCUUGAACCUGGGAGGCGGAGGUUGCAGUGAGCUGAGAUCAUGCCCUUGCACUCUAGCCUGUGCAACAAGAAUGAAACUCCAUCUCAAAAAAAAAAGAAAAAAAAAGAUUUCACCUCAUGGUCAAAUUGGUUAGGAUUUGAUGGAAUAAUCUAUAAGGUUUCGUGUAAACAAAUUGGGGUUAACAUUAAUAAACUAAUGCAAGGGUAAAAUUUUGCUUUGAACAAGAUUUUCAUUUCAUAAUAAAGGCUAAUGAAAGGAUUUUGCCUUUUGAGUCAUCAUUUUGGCAAAAUAAUUUAUGGCAAUCUGGAAAUUGUCCUUCCUGAUACCUAACUUUUUGAAUGGUUUAGAGGGGCCCUGAAACAUUCAGAAAAGAGGUAAACAGGAUUAUUUGACAUGUUUAGUCACAUGAGAUUGCCAAAAUGAUGUCCAAUCUUAUUUAAGUUAUAGUUUGGUGAAUAAUACUAAUAUAUGUUUCAGAAUUGUAUGGGAUUUCUAAGAUUCUAAUGUCUAAGUAUAUGCUAUCAAUCAUAAUUAAGGGUAAAGUUAUUGUAAACCAUGAAGAUAAAUAAACUUCUUUGUCA
rnacentral:lncRNA from 10 species